UUUGCCCCUGAGGCGUUGCAGCGCAGCCGUCAGUGUUGCAGCUGUGUCAAAAGGUGGCAGAGAGAGAAUGGUGGAGGUCUGCACUGAGACUCUAACACACAUGGAGGACUCGGAGUCAUACUUUCCACUGACAAA
ensembl:snoRNA small nucleolar RNA SNORA17